rnacentral:rRNA from 1 species
GAUGAACGCUGGCGGCGUGCCUAAUACAUGCAAGUCGAGCGAACGGACGAGAAGCUUGCUUCUCUGAUGUUAGCGGCGGACGGGUGAGUAACACGUGGAUAACCUACCUAUAAGACUGGGAUAACUUCGGGAAACCGGAGCUAAUACCGGAUGAUAUUUUGAACCGCAUGGUUCAAAAGUGAAAGACGGUCUUGCUGUCACUUAUAGAUGGAUCCGCGCUGCAUUAGCUAGUUGGUAAGGUAACGGCUCACCAAGGCAACGAUGCAUAGCCGACCUGAGAGGGUGAUCGGCCACACUGGAACUGAGACACGGUCCAGACUCCUACGGGAGGCAGCAGUAGGGAAUCUUCCGCAAUGGGCGAAAGCCUGACGGAGCAACGCCGCGUGAGUGAUGAAGGUCUUCGGAUCGUAAAACUCUGUUAUUAAGGAAGAACAUAUGUGUAAGUAACUGUGCACAUCUUGACGGUACCUAAUCAGAAAGCCACGGCUAACUACGUG